GACGAACGCUGGCGGCGUGCUUAACACAUGCAAGUCGAACGGAAAGGCCCUGCUUUUGUGGGGUGCUCGAGUGGCGAACGGGUGAGUAACACGUGAGUAACCUGCCCUUGACUUUGGGAUAACUUCAGGAAACUGGGGCUAAUACCGGAUAGGAGCUCCUGCUGCAUGGUGGGGGUUGGAAAGUUUCGGCGGUUGGGGAUGGACUCGCGGCUUAUCAGCUUGUUGGUGGGGUAGUGGCUUACCAAGGCUUUGACGGGUAGCCGGCCUGAGAGGGUGACCGGCCACAUUGGGACUGAGAUACGGCCCAGACUCCUACGGGAGGCAGCAGUGGGGAAUAGUGCACAAUGGGCGGAAGCCUGAUGCAGCAACGCCGCGUGCGGGAUGACGGCCUUCGGGUUGUAAACCGCUUUCGCCUGUGACGAAGCGUGAGUGACGGUAAUGGGUAAAGAAGCACCGGCUUACUACGUG
rnacentral:rRNA from 1 species